ensembl:lncRNA LINC00665 long intergenic non-protein coding RNA 665
AGCCCGCCCUCCCAUUUCCGGAAGCCUGGCGCAAGGUUGGUCUGCAGGUGGCCUCCAGGUGCAAAGUGGGAAGUGUGAGUCCUCAGUCUUGGGCUAUUCGGCCACGUGCCUGCCGGACAUGGGACGCUGGAGGGUCAGCAGCGUGGAGUCCUGGCCUUUUGCGUCCACGGGUGGGAAAUUGGCCAUUGCCACGGCGGGAACUGGGACUCAGGCUGCCCCCCGGCCGUUUCUCAUCCGUCCACCGGACUCGUGGGCGCUCGCACUGGCGCUGAUGUAGUUUCCUGACCUCUGACCCGUAUUGUCUCCAGAUUAAAGGUACGACAUUUGGAGGCCCCAGCGAGAAACGUCACCGGGAGAAACGUCACCGGGCGAGAGCCGGGCCCGCUGUGUGCUCCCCCGGAAGGACAGCCAGCUUGUAGGGGGGAGUGCCACCUGAAAAAAAAAUUUCCAGGUCCCCAAAGGGUGACCGUCUUCCGGAGGACAGCGGAUCGACUACCAUGUGGGUGCCCACAAAAAUUCCACCUCUGAGUCCUCAACUGCUGACCCCGGGGUCAGGUCCAGAUUUUGAACAAAUCUCGCUAGAGAUUGAACAGAGCUGCGCCUGGAUCCCGCCACAGUGAGGAGACCUGAAGACCAGAGAAAACACAGCAAGCCCCUGGAUCCUCCUGGAAUCCCCGAUCCCUCUUGCUCCCUGGCAGAGUUUUCUAGUCCCUCUUACUUGAAGCAUGUCUUUCAGAGCCCGGCACCACCCAUCUUGAGUAUCUGGUGAGUUCUGUGGUCUGCAUGUCCAUGUUUGGGACAUUCUGGGAAGGGUGGCCCAGGCUGUGAUUUGCCAUCUACUGCAGGCUAUGGAUGGUAUUCAGAAGGGAGGGGAGAUGCUGUGUGCGUGUUCUGAAGGGUUUCCCACUAAACAGAUCAACCCUCUCCAUAACUAUUUGAUUUUUACUUUAUCUCCUCGUUGACUUCACAGUGUCAGUGCAGUUUGUGUAAACAUCUCUAUGGGGUGAUGCAUGCAGAUAAAUGUUUAUGUGAACAUAUAAAGUCUGCAUGUGUGGGUGAACACUCCACAUCAGGUCAUUGUCCAUCAUUACAUAUCUGUGGUGUCUGGCUCAUUCGUCUCGUUUUCUGUCAUUUUACCUACUUUUACCUGAAGUACAAUGACUAUUUAAUAACUAUUAAAUGUUUCAUUUCAGCUACACCUCUAUGGUAUUUUUUUCACCUCAUAUCAUACCUUCCUCCCUCACUGGACUUCAGUGUGGGACCUGCAGGUCUCAGGCCUUCUGGGAAGUCCCAGCUUUUCUUGAAUGUUUUCUCUCUCUGGCCAGCUCAGGCUGGAGCAGUGGGUGUUGGUGCCAUCCUGUGGCUAUAGGUGAUAAGCCGGCUGUUCUUCACUGACCUGGUCUUACCUUGAACCCUGGAGUUCUCACAUGCAUGGAUUUAAAUGCUGUGUCUUUCUAAGGGCACAUUAUGGCCAUUUUCCUUAUCUCCCUCCCAAGGGGCUGUUUGCUGUGUUUAUUGACUCCCUGUUUAAAAAACAUAUAUAUAUAUAUAUAUAUAGACGAAUUAGGUUGUACCCCAUAAAUUGCAUGUUUGAAAAAUAUUUCAAAGAAUAGUUUAUUUUUUUUUGCUGAUUUUUAUGUAUCUUCUAAAUUGUAUAUAUUUAUGGGGUAUAAAAUGAUGUUGUGAUUUUUCAAUACAGUGUGGAAUGAGAAUCAAAUUAACCUAUCCGUUACCUCAAGUACUUGACUUUUUUUGUGAUGAGAAGGCUGUUUAUCACUUUCACUCACCAGCUCCUGCUGUCUUCCAUGCUGGGGACAGGAAAGGCUCCACGCUUGACUUUCCCUCCUGUUUUCUUAUCUGCUGUCAACCCCUGAAUGUACCCUCCAGGAUUGCCUUCUAGACCUUCUACAUCUAGCUCGAUCAUUGUGCACCCACCUUCCUCCCAGGGACUGUCCUUAGGGAGUGACUUUAUGCACAAACUUCACAUGCUCUUCCUGCCUCCUUCAUCCCCAUAAGCCCCCAUCUCAGCCCCAUCUGAUUAUUUCUUCCCUGUCUCAUUUCCUGUUAUGCUGUUGGUUUUCUAACCUGAAGGGUAACUUCUUACUCCUUAGUUUUUUGCCUUAAUUUCUAAGUCAUAGGCUACUUUCAGGCUAAAAGUUUUCCUCCAGCCAUGGUUUUAGUCUCAUUCUAUAAGUCUUGCUAGGUAGUUUAUUCAUUGGAAAUUUUUUGUUUUUGAGACAGAGUCUCGCUCUGUCACCCAGGCUGUAGUACAGUGGUGCCAUCUCAGCUCACUGCAACCUCCGGUUCCCGGGCUCAAGCAGUUCUCUUUCCUCAGCCUCCUGAGUAGCUGGGAUUAUGGGUGCCUGCCACCACACCCAGCUAAUUUUUGUAUUUUUAGUAGAGACGGCAUUUCACCAUGUCAGCCAGGUUGGUCUCGAACUCUUGACCUCAAGUGAUCCGCCCACCUUGGCCUCCCAAAAUACUGGGAUUACAGGGGUGAGUCACCACACCCCACCCCUUGGCACUAUAUUUAAGUGAUGAUAUUUUUGGACACUGAGGUAGCCUCAUUCCACAGGUUUAGAUCUGAAGCAUUUUCACUAUUGCUUCUUUCCAUGUAUUUCCUGGUUUGCAGGUCAGUUUCUUCUUUUAAUUCAUCAUUGACACAGUGGUUUAUAUGGCUUUUAAUUUCAAAAGAUUUUUUAAAAUAUCUUUUUGCCGAUUUUUAUCUAUGUUAAUUUUAACUAGACAUGUUCCCUGGAAGGACAUCACUAGUUUUUUUUUUUUUUUUUUCACUCUGUUUAUAAUUUAGGUGGAUUUUCACAUCUCAAGCCAGCUAAGAGUAUGGGAAAUAGGACUCGUUAAAGCACAGAUAUCACACAAGUGAUUCAGAUUCACGAGGGUAAUCCAGAUGAAGGUAUAUCAUUGUACCUGGCCCGCAUCACUCAGUAACUGUCACCUUUGAUUUAUUGAUUUACUUGAGAUGGAGUUUGGUUCUGUCCCCGAGGCCGGAGUGCAAUGGCGUGAUCUCUGCUCACUACAACCUCUGCCUCCCAGGUUCAGAGUGAUUCUCCUGCCUCAGCCUCUUUAGCUGGGAUUACAGGCACCCACCAACAUGCCCAGCUAAUUUUUGUAUUUUUAGUAGAGAGGAGCUUUCACCAUAAUGGCCAGGCUGGUCUUGAACCUCAAAUGAUCUGCCCACCUUGGCCUCCCAAAGUGCUAGGAUUACAGGCUGGAGCUACAGAGCCCAGCCUGUCACCUUGAUUUAAAUGAAUGCAGCUUUCUUGGUGUCUUGAUGUUUGUGAAUUUCUGUGGAGUUUGAUACUGCUCCUUUUGCUGCUUGUUUUUCCAGAGUCCCCUUAUCACUUGACGUGCUGUUAUAUUAUGUUUGAUUUAUUACAGAUACCCCAUCAGCCUGAGUCUCUUAAAGGCCUUUAUACACAUAUGUCUACACAUAGGGAUUUGGAUGAUCUCGGGAUCCCACAUCCUCGCUGUCCCCUGUCCCCCCGCAACAUCCCCCACCAAUACCUUUCUGAAGUUUUCUAGUCCCUCCUUUUUGUUUGUGCUCCUUAAAGCCCAGCCCCAUGCCUGACUUUGGUUCCCAGUGAGCAUUGUACAUUUGUGGAUAUUAAAUCUUUGGCAAAGUCAUUUACCUGGG